rnacentral:rRNA from 1 species
GUACACUCCUACGGGAGGCAGCAGUGGGGAAUUUUGGACAAUGGGCGAAAGCCUGAUCCAGCAAUGCCGCGUGUGUGAAGAAGGCCUUCGGGUUGUAAAGCACUUUUGUCCGGAAAGAAAUCCUUGGCUCUAAUACAGUCGGGGGAUGACGGUACCGGAAGAAUAAGCACCGGCUAACUACGUGCCAGCAGCCGCGGUAAUACGUAGGGUGCGAGCGUUAAUCGGAAUUACUGGGCGUAAAGCGUGCGCAGGCGGUUUGCUAAGACCGAUGUGAAAUCCCCGGGCUCAACCUGGGAACUGCAUUGGUGACUGGCAGGCUAGAGUAUGGCAGAGGGGGGUAGAAUUCCACGUGUAGCAGUGAAAUGCGUAGAGAUGUGGAGGAAUACCGAUGGCGAAGGCAGCCCCCUGGGCCAAUACUGACGCUCAUGCACGAAAGCGUGGGGAGCAAACAGGAUUAGAUACCCGGGUAGUCC